GAGGUUCUAAGAUCGAGUGGAGAGUACUCUAGGGAACUUGUAGCUGUCCACCGACUUCUUGCCCAAGGUGACCCGAUGCUGGUGCCGACCAGAAGGAUAGUGCUCUCUUAAGUUCCAGUUGAUGUCAAGACCACCUGUCCUAUCUGCAAUCCCAGAAAAUGAGCCUCCACUCUGGCAGAAACAGAUCGAUUCUUUGGCAGCCGUGGUACUUCAGAACCGACAGGGGCUAGAUGUCCUGUC